rnacentral:rRNA from 1 species
GACCCCUAAGGCGAGGCCGAAAGGCGUAGUCGAUGGGAAACGGGUUAAUAUUCCCGUACUUGGUAUAAUUGCGAUGGGGGGACGGAGCAGGCUAAACAAGCAUGGCGUUGGUUGUCCAUGUGAAAGUAUGUAGGUUGGUGACUUAGGAAAAUCCGGGUUGCUAAGACUGAGAUACGAGACGAGCCACUAAGGUGGUGAAGUUGUUGAUGCCAUACUUCCAGGAAAAGCCUCUAAGCUUCAGAUUAUACCGAAUCGUACCCCAAACCGACACAGGUGGUCAGGUAGAGAAUACUAAGGCGCUUGAGAGAACUCGGGUGAAGG